ensembl:lncRNA
AUUAUUUGAACGUUAAGUUUUAAGAUUUGUUACAAUAUCCAGUUUUCUUGUUGUGAUUAUUGUUAUUGUUAUUAUUUCACCCAAAAUCUAUUGUUAUUUGAACAUUUAAUGUUUAUAUUCUAAAAACGUUAAGAUGUGCAGUUCCCUUGUUGUGAUUAGAACAUUAUUUAAUGUACAAUAACGCUUCUCUGAAUGUUUAUCAAGUAUAAAUAACAUCAUAAGGACAUUCUGAGAAUGUCGAUGUCAGAAUGUUUUUUCUCAAUCAUGUAAAGUAACAUCAUGAGAACAUUCCAAAAACAUUUUCUCUCAAUGUUAUGAGAAUUGAUUAAUUAAAUCAUAAGAAAGUUCCAUAAACAUUACUUUAAGAACAUUUUGUCUUAUUAUUUAUAAAAACGUUAGCUGUAUUCCCAAAAGUGUGAAGGUCCUGUAAAGGUCAGCUUCAUCCGGCAUAUACUGCAGUUUAUUGAUGUUCCUGUAGAAGUGCUGCUUUGCUCCUUAAUCAUUCAGAAAGUGCUGUUUAUAUCUGAAGUGUCACACUGUGCUAAGCUCUGCGAGUGUGGAAGCUGUUUGCAGGCCGCAGCGGGACACAGAUGAAAGCAUCAGCACUGCUGGCGUCUGGGUCAGCAGUCCUGUCACAGCGGGUCACAGUGACUGGACGUCCCGGCCUGAUUUCAGACCAGAAGCUGCAGGCCUGCAUUCAGGUUCUUCUCUGGGGAAAAAUCGUUUGAGGGAAAAUGCCACCAAACACAUCAGAUAUCAGCUACUGGUCUCAACACCGCAGAGGAAAUGAAGGCCGUAAUGAGCGAUCUGUUUAACAGUCUGUCAUCAGAUCUGGAAUCAGCGGCCGUGAACCCGUCACCUUCACGUCUACAGCAAACGCUCCUGAGCGUCACAUCAGAAAGACUCGCUCACAGCAGCGUCCCUGUGCCAGGUGAACAGAAUGGGUUUGUGUCGGUCUGCCAGCCUCCUCACCGUUGCACAGAAAGCAACAGAAUGCUGCAGAGUCUGCUGUGAUGAUUAGCACUGCGUCACACACCGGCUUCAGAUCGCCGCAGACGUGACAGCAUGGCUGAAAGUCACGGCAUCAAAGGAAGCGAUAUUAAUGCUGAAGGUCAGAACAUCAAUUCAGGCUGUUCUGCAAAAUUCCCAGUGAAGGACAGAGGCGCGGGUGUGUGUCAGGUGAACGGGAUCGGGUUCUGAAUGAAAGACUCGGAAGACGCACUUCAGGGAGAGGGUGCUUGCUUUCCAGGUCAUUAUUCAAACUCGACGUGAGAUCAGUUCAGCUGUGUUCAUGUUGAAGUGUCACGUAAGCCUGUUUCAAGGCCCAUUUACAAAAACACACUUUAUGAAUGAAAAAAAAAAAGUCACAUAUGCACUAGUGAGACUUUCACUAGUGGCUUGGGGUCAGUGAGAUUUUUUUUUUUUUUUUUUUUUUUUAUGUGUUUGGAAAAAAAGUAUUUUCUGCUUACCAAGACUGCAUUUGUUCAACUAAAAAUACAAUAAAAAUUGUGAAAUAUUAUUAGAAUUUAAAAUA